rnacentral:lncRNA from 1 species
CGAGGGAGAGAGGGAGAAGGGGAAAGGGAGCCUGCGUGAAUGGUGAAGUGGGGUGAGCUGCGUAUUUUGUAUUUGUGUGGUGGAAGUGAGAGUUAAAUUAGGGAUUUAAGAGAGAGAGAAUAAAUUUGGGCUCAAGGGUAGGCUAAAGCUUUAAUUGGGGCUUAAUUUAUUAAAUAAGUUGGGCUUAAUUCUAUUUUUAAUAUGGCUGCAUUUACAUAUAUUUUUACAAUGAUAUUAUUAAACUUUAUAUUUCAAUUUACAUUAUUAAUUUAAAUUUAGUUUUCAUUAAAUAUUGAGCCCAAAUAUUUUUAUAAGAAAAGCUCUUUUAUAAUCUAUUAGACCAAUGAUUUUUAAAUGGCUUUAUGAUAAUAAAUUCUUAAGAUUUAAAUUACUAUUAUUAUUAUUUUUUUUAAGUUCAAAUAGGCCCUUAUGUUAAUUAUUUGAAUUUAUCUGACUAGGUGCGGCGCGACUAGGACGUGAACUUUAAAUUCUUGCAGUUAAUUUUCAAAGCUCAAAAGUUCAAGUUUCAGGUGUGGGAUUUAUUUCAGUACAUGCACGUGGUUAAUAUUUGUCCAUUUUAAUAUUAUGUGUUUACCGUAUGUGUUGUAAAAAUAUUUAUCGCUAGGGGCCAGCAUAAUUGGUCCAGGACUUCACCGUCCUUGGUAUGCCACAAAGCGAUUUCAUGUUACAGGGUUGCAACCAUUAUAUUGUCGCCAGGGGCCCACAUAUAGGGUCCGGGACAUUAAAGUCCUUGGAUUGCCACAGUGCGUAUGGAAGUUAUGUUACGUUAUGACAAUAUGUGUUACCAUUUUAUUAACAUGGACAAUUAUUGCAUGUUCCCACACUGAGUGUACCCUGUAUGCUCAUCCCAUAUUCAACAGUUUCAGGUGAUUGAUAUCGGAGGCGCGUGGAGAGUCGAAUGGGCGCGUCGAAUCUAUUUAAAGAUAAAUGUUUCCUAAAACAUAUUAUGUUAUUUCAUGUGAUAUCUCUUGAUUAUGUAAACUCUGAAAUUCUAUACUAUUUGAGAUUUGUGUGUGAUUUGUUUAAAUAAAUGUUAUUAUAUUAUUUUAAUGUCAUGACUUGUU